rnacentral:rRNA from 1 species
UACGGAGGAUGCGAGCGUUGUCCGGAAUGACUGGGCGUAAAGGGUGUGUAGGCGGUUUAUUAAGUUAGAAGUGAAAUACCUAGGGCUUAACCCAGGUGCUGCUUCUAAAACUGAUAGACUUGAGUGCAGUAGAGGAAAGUGGAAUUCCUAGUGUAGCGGUGGAAUGCGUAGAUAUUAGGAGGAACAUCAGUGGCGAAGGCGACUAUCUGGACAGCAACUGACACUGAGGCACGAAAGCGUGGGGAGCAAACAGG